CAACUUUCGAAAUUUUAAGACAACAUAACCUCUUGCUUCUCUCGUGACGUAAUCACAUUAAGGUGCCCACCACCAAUCCCGUGACGACUUGAGCUGAGUCAGUGCGAGGAGCAUUUGAAAUGACAUAAUUGGCUUUGUUUACCCACCCUUGCACACAGUGUCUAGGAAGAGAGCAUCGUUUGCGCAAUGUUUGAGAUUAUUUGCGAAACGUUUGAUCAUCAUAUCCAACAACGCAGGUGUUUUGUAUCUGAGACUAUUUCUGGAACAUUUGACAACGGCAGCUUGAUGGCAGUUGUUAGGCUUUUUCUUGGACCAGUUCGCAGUCACAGAACAGUUUCAUUUUUCUUUUGGAUGUAGGGUGGAAGGAACUAUUAACCCUAAAGAAACUUAUAUGACUCAUACAUUUCGAACGUUUAUACAAAACGACUAAACACUGAAGGUAUUUUCUUCUAAUUUCUGAUGGCAAAAUGUCCACUAUUGCUUCAUCAAGUAUUUCGGCACAAUUUUAUUCUGAUGCACAUAGUUGAUGAUAUUGCUUUUCAAUAAAAUUAUUCUUUUUUAAA